AGCGAACGCUGGCGGCAGGCCUAACACAUGCAAGUCGAACGAAGUCUUCGGACUUAGUGGCGGACGGGUGAGUAACACGUGGGAACGUGCCUUUAGGUUCGGAAUAACUCAGGGAAACUUGUGCUAAUACCGAAUGUGCCCUUCGGGGGAAAGAUUUAUCGCCUUUAGAGCGGCCCGCGUCUGAUUAGAUAGUUGGGGAGGCAAUGGCCACCCAAGGCUACGAUCAUUAGCUGGUCUGAGGGGAUGACCAGCCACAUUGGGACUGAGACACGGCCCAAACUCCUACGGGAGGCAGCAGUGGGGAAUCUUGCGCAAUGGGCUAAAGCCUGACGCAGCCAUGCCGCGUGGAUGAUGAAGGUCUUAGGAUCGUAAAAUCCUUUCACCGGUGAAGAUAAUGACUGUACCCGGAGAAGAAGCCCCGGCUAACUUCGUGCCAGCCGCCGCCGUAACAC
rnacentral:rRNA from 1 species